rnacentral:rRNA from 1 species
AUUGAACGCUGGCGGCAGGCCUAACACAUGCAAGUCGAACGCGUGGCGGACGGGUGAGUCAUGUCUGGGAAACUCCCUGAUGGAGGGGGAUCACUACUGUAAACGGUAGCUAAUACCGCAUACCAUCAGAUGUGCCCAUAUGGGAUUAGCUUGUUGGUGGGGUAACGGCUCACCAAGGCGACGAUCGCUAGCUGGUCUGAGAGGAUGACCGGCCACACUGGGACUGAGACACGGUCCAGACUCCUACGGGAGGCAGCAGUGGGGAAUAUUGCACAAUGGGCGCAAGCCUGAUGCAGCCAUGCCGCGUGUAUGAAGAAGGCCUUCGGGUUGUAAAGUACUUUCAGCGGGGAGGCGUUACCCGCAGAAGAAGCACCGGCUAACUACGUGCCAGCAGCCGCGGUAAUAC